rnacentral:rRNA from 1 species
UACCAGCUCUUCGAGUGGUGUGGAUGUUUAUUGGGCCUAAAGCAUCCGUAGCUGGCUGGGCAAGUCCCCUGUUAAAUCCACCGAUUUAAUCGUUGGAGUGCGGGGGAUACUGUUCGGCUAGGGGACGGGAGAGGCAGACGGUAUUUUCGGGGUAGGGGUGAAAUCCUAUAAUCCCGAGAAGACCACCAGUGGCGAAGGCUGUCUGCUAGGACGCGCCCGACGGUGAGGGAUGAAAGCUGGGGGAGCGAACCGGAUUAGAUACCUGGGUAGUCCCAGCUGUAAACGAUGCAGGCUAGGCGUUUGGACGGCCACGUGCCGUUCUAGUGCCGCAGGGAAGCCGUUAAGCCUGCCGCCUGGGGAUACGGCCGCAAGGCUGAAACUUAAGGAAUUGGCGGGGAGCACCACAAGGGGUGAAGCUUGCGGUUU